rnacentral:rRNA from 1 species
CGCUUUUUGAACAUAUAGAAGGUAUAGUCUGCCCACUGAAGAAUUGAAGGGCCGCAGUAUUUUGACUGUGCAAAGGUAGCAUAAUCAUUAGUCUUCUAAUUAAAGGCUGGUAUGAAUGGCUGGACGAAGUAUAAGCUGUCUCAUAAAGAUAAUUUUUAAUUUAACUUUUUAGUGAAAAGGCUAAAAUAAUAUUGGAGGACGAGAAGACCCUAUAGAGCUUUAUAUAGUAGUAAGUUAUGAGUGUGGAUUAAUAGUUUGCAAAUUAUGAAUGUAUUUUGUUGGGGUGAUAGGGAAAUAAAUAAACUUUCUUUUAUUAUAAACAUAGAUGAAUGAGUGUGAGAUCCAUUAUUAGUGAUUAAAAGAUUAAGUUACC